rnacentral:rRNA from 1 species
UGCAGUCGAACGAACUCUGGUAUUGAUUGGUGCUUGCAUCAUGAUUUACAUUUGAGUGAGUGGCGAACUGGUGAGUAACACGUGGGAAACCUGCCCAGAAGCGGGGGAUAACACCUGGAAACAGAUGCUAAUACCGCAUAACAACUUGGACCGCAUGGUCCGAGUUUGAAAGAUGGCUUCGGCUAUCACUUUUGGAUGGUCCCGCGGCGUAUUAGCUAGAUGGUGGGGUAACGGCUCACCAUGGCAAUGAUACGUAGCCGACCUGAGAGGGUAAUCGGCCACAUUGGGACUGAGACACGGCCCAAACUCCUACGGGAGGCAGCAGUAGGGAAUCUUCCACAAUGGACGAAAGUCUGAUGGAGCAACGCCGCGUGAGUGAAGAAGGGUUUCGGCUCGUAAAACUCUGUUGUUAAAGAAGAACAUAUCUGAGAGUAACUGUUCAGGUAUUGACGGUAUUUAACCAGAAAGCCACGGCUAACUACGUGCCAGCAGCCGCGGUAAUACGUAGGUGGCAAGCGUUGUCCGGAUUUAUUGGGCGUAAAGCGAGCGCAGGCGGUUUUUUAAGUCUGAUGUGAAAGCCUUCGGCUCAACCGAAGAAGUGCAUCGGAAACUGGGAAACUUGAGUGCAGAAGAGGACAGUGGAACUCCAUGUGUAGCGGUGAAAUGCGUAGAUAUAUGGAAGAACACCAGUGGCGAAGGCGGCUGUCUGGUCUGUAACUGACGCUGAGGCUCGAAAGUAUGGGUAGCAAACAGGAUUAGAUACCCUGGUAGUCCAUACCGUAAACGAUGAAUGCUAAGUGUUGGAGGGUUUCCGCCCUUCAGUGCUGCAGCUAACGCAUUAAGCAUUCCGCCUGGGGAGUACGGCCGCAAGGCUGAAACUCAAAGGAAUUGACGGGGGCCCGCACAAGCGGUGGAGCAUGUGGUUUAAUUCGAAGCUACGCGAAGAACCUUACCAGGUCUUGACAUACUAUGCAAAUCUAAGAGAUUAGACGUUCCCUUCGGGGACAUGGAUACAGGUGGUGCAUGGUUGUCGUCAGCUCGUGUCGUGAGAUGUUUGGGUUAAGUCCCGCAACGAGCGCAACCCUUAUUAUCAGUUGCCAGCA